GGUUAAAGGAUUCUUACAGGCAGAAGGACACAGGGUCCAGUGGGAACGGGUAAAGAACUCAAUGCACAGGGUUGAUGCGGAUGGAGUUUUCCAGCCAAUGAUGCAGCUUGGUGCAUUGUCCUUAGUCCACAUGGAUACAAAUCAUAAAUGAAUAAGGUACAACAUUGUACAACAUCUUUGGGGCAAUUGAUGGUUAUUCUAGAAAGAUCAUGUACCUUGAGCCAGCAACAAACAACAAAUCAAGCACGGCUCUUACAUUUUUUCU